CCUACGGGAGGCAGCAGUAGGGAAUCUUUCACAAUGGGCGAAAGCCUGAUGGAGCAACGCCGCGUGCAGGAUGAAGGCCUUCGGGUUGUAAACUGCUUUUAUAAGCGAGAAAUAUGAUGGUAACUUAUGAAUAAGGAUCGGCUAACUACGUGCCAGCAGCCGCGGUCAUACGUAGGAUCCGAGCAUUAUCCGGAGUGACUGGGUGUAAAGAGUUGCGUAGGUGGCAUAAUAAGUAGCGAGUGAAAUCGGAUGGGUCAAACAUUCAGACUGUUAGCUAAACUGUUGAGCUCGAGACCGUUAGGGGUAACUGGAAUUUCUAGUGUAGGAGUGAAAUGCGUAGAUAUUAGAAGGAACACCAAUGGCGUAGGCAGGUUGCUGGGACGGUUCUGACACUAAGGCACGAAAGCGUAGGGAGCAAACGGGAUUAGAUACCCUUGUAGUC
rnacentral:rRNA from 1 species